AGUUAUUAAGGGCGCACGGUGGAUGCCUUGGCACUAGAAGCCGAUGAAGGACGUUACUAACGACGAUAUGCUUUGGGGAGCUGUAAGUAAGCUUUGAUCCAGAGAUUUCCGAAUGGGGAAACCCAGCAUGAGUUAUGUCAUGUUAUCGAUAUGUGAAUACAUAGCAUAUCAGAAGGCACACCCGGAGAACUGAAACAUCUUAGUACCCGGAGGAAGAGAAAGAAAAUUCGAUUCCCUUAGUAGCGGCGAGCGAAACGGGAAGAGCCCAAACCAACAAGCUUGCUUGUUGGGGUUGUAGGACACUCUAUACGGAGUUACAAAGGACGACAUUAGACGAAUCAUCUGGAAAGAUGAAUCAAAGAAGGUAAUAAUCCUGUAGUCGAAAAUGUUGUCUCUCUUGAGUGGAUCCUGAGUACGACGGAGCACGUGAAAUUCCGUCGGAAUCUGGGAGGACCAUCUCCUAAGGCUAAAUACUCUCUAGUGACCGAUAGUGAACCAGUACCGUGAGGGAAAGGUGAAAAGCACCCCGGAAGGGGAGUGAAAUAGAACCUGAAACCGUGUGCUUACAAGUAGUCAGAGCCCGUUAAUGGGUGAUGGCGUGCCUUUUGUAGAAUGAACCGGCGAGUUACGAUUUGAUGCAAGGUUAAGCAGUAAAUGUGGAGCCGUAGCGAAAGCGAGUCUGAAUAGGGCGUUUAGUAUUUGGUCGUAGACCCGAAACCAGGUGAUCUACCCUUGGUCAGGUUGAAGUUCAGGUAACACUGAAUGGAGGACCGAACCGACUUACGUUGAAAAGUGAGCGGAUGAACUGAGGGUAGCGGAGAAAUUCCAAUCGAACCUGGAGAUAGCUGGUUCUCUCCGAAAUAGCUUUAGGGCUAGCCUCAAGUGAUGAUUAUUGGAGGUAGAGCACUGUUUGGACGAGGGGCCCCUCUCGGGUUACCGAAUUCAGACAAACUCCGAAUGCCAAUUAAUUUAACUUGGGAGUCAGAACAUGGGUGAUAAGGUCCGUGUUCGAAAGGGAAACAGCCCAGACCACCAGCUAAGGUCCCAAAAUAUAUGUUAAGUGGAAAAGGAUGUGGCGUUGCCCAGACAACUAGGAUGUUGGCUUAGAAGCAGCCAUCAUUUAAAGAGUGCGUAAUAGCUCACUAGUCGAGUGACACUGCGCCGAAAAUGUACCGGGGCUAAACAUAUUACCGAAGCUGUGGAUUGUCCUUUGGACAAUGGUAGGAGAGCGUUCUAAGGGCGUUGAAGCAUGAUCGUAAGGACAUGUGGAGCGCUUAGAAGUGAGAAUGCCGGUGUGAGUAGCGAAAGACGGGUGAGAAUCCCGUCCACCGAUUGACUAAGGUUUCCAGAGGAAGGCUCGUCCGCUCUGGGUUAGUCGGGUCCUAAGCUGAGGCCGACAGGCGUAGGCGAUGGAUAACAGGUUGAUAUUCCUGUACCACCUAUAAUCGUUUUAAUCGAUGGGGGGACGCAGUAGGAUAGGCGAAGCGUGCGAUUGGAUUGCACGUCUAAGCAGUAAGGCUGAGUAUUAGGCAAAUCCGGUACUCGUUAAGGCUGAGCUGUGAUGGGGAGAAGACAUUGUGUCUUCGAGUCGUUGAUUUCACACUGCCGAGAAAAGCCUCUAGAUAGAAAAUAGGUGCCCGUACCGCAAACCGACACAGGUAGUCAAGAUGAGAAUUCUAAGGUGAGCGAGCGAACUCUCGUUAAGGAACUCGGCAAAAUGACCCCGUAACUUCGGGAGAAGGGGUGCUCUUUAGGGUUAACGCCCAGAAGAGCCGCAGUGAAUAGGCCCAAGCGACUGUUUAUCAAAAACACAGGUCUCUGCUAAACCGUAAGGUGAUGUAUAGGGGCUGACGCCUGCCCGGUGCUGGAAGGUUAAGAGGAGUGGUUAGCUUCUGCGAAGCUACGAAUCGAAGCCCCAGUAAACGGCGGCCGUAACUAUAACGGUCCUAAGGUAGCGAAAUUCCUUGUCGGGUAAGUUCCGACCCGCACGAAAGGCGUAACGAUUUGGGCACUGUCUCAACGAGAGACUCGGUGAAAUCAUAGUACCUGUGAAGAUGCAGGUUACCCGCGACAGGACGGAAAGACCCCGUGGAGCUUUACUGUAGCCUGAUAUUGAAAUUCGGCACAGCUUGUACAGGAUAGGUAGGAGCCUUUGAAACGUGAGCGCUAGCUUACGUGGAGGCGCUGGUGGGAUACUACCCUAGCUGUGUUGGCUUUCUAACCCGCACCACUUAUCGUGGUGGGAGACAGUGUCAGGCGGGCAGUUUGACUGGGGCGGUCGCCUCCUAAAAGGUAACGGAGGCGCUCAAAGGUUCCCUCAGAAUGGUUGGAAAUCAUUCAUAGAGUGUAAAGGCAUAAGGGAGCUUGACUGCGAGACCUACAAGUCGAGCAGGGUCGAAAGACGGACUUAGUGAUCCGGUGGUUCCGCAUGGAAGGGCCAUCGCUCAACGGAUAAAAGCUACCCCGGGGAUAACAGGCUUAUCUCCCCCAAGAGUUCACAUCGACGGGGAGGUUUGGCACCUCGAUGUCGGCUCAUCGCAUCCUGGGGCUGUAGUCGGUCCCAAGGGUUGGGCUGUUCGCCCAUUAAAGCGGUACGCGAGCUGGGUUCAGAACGUCGUGAGACAGUUCGGUCCCUAUCCGUCGUGGGCGUAGGAAAUUUGAGAGGAGCUGUCCUUAGUACGAGAGGACCGGGAUGGACAUACCUCUGGUGUACCAGUUGUCGUGCCAACGGCAUAGCUGGGUAGCUAUGUGUGGACGGGAUAAGUGCUGAAAGCAUCUAAGCAUGAAGCCCCCC
rnacentral:rRNA from 1 species